rnacentral:rRNA from 1 species
UUAAGCGACUAAGCGUACACGGUGGAUGCCCUGGCAGUCAGAGGCGAUGAAGGACGUGCUAAUCUGCGAUAAGCGUCGGUAAGGUGAUAUGAACCGUUAUAACCGGCGAUUUCCGAAUGGGGAAACCCAGUGUGUUUCGACACACUAUCAUUAACUGAAUCCAUAGGUUAAUGAGGCGAACCGGGGGAACUGAAACAUCUAAGUACCCCGAGGAAAAGAAAUCAACCGAGAUUCCCCCAGUAGCGGCGAGCGAACGGGGAGGAGCCCAGAGCCUGAAUCAGUGUGUGUGUUAGUGGAAGCGUCUGGAAAGGCGCGCGAUACAGGGUGACAGCCCCGUACACAAAAAUGCACAUACUGUGAGCUCGAUGAGUAGGGCGGGACACGUGGUAUCCUGUCUGAAUAUGGGGGGACCAUCCUCCAAGGCUAAAUACUCCUGACUGACCGAUAGUGAACCAGUACCGUGAGGGAAAGGCGAAAAGAACCCCGGCGAGGGGAGUGAAAAAGAACCUGAAACCGUGUACGUACAAGCAGUGGGAGCACGCUUAGGCGUGUGACUGCGUACCUUUUGUAUAAUGGGUCAGCGACUUAUAUUCUGUAGCAAGGUUAACCGAAUAGGGGAGCCGAAGGGAAACCGAGUCUUAACUGGGCGUUAAGUUGCAGGGUAUAGACCCGAAACCCGGUGAUCUAGCCAUGGGCAGGUUGAAGGUUGGGUAACACUAACUGGAGGACCGAACCGACUAAUGUUGAAAAAUUAGCGGAUGACUUGUGGCUGGGGGUGAAAGGCCAAUCAAACCGGGAGAUAGCUGGUUCUCCCCGAAAGCUAUUUAGGUAGCGCCUCGUGAAUUCAUCUCCGGGGGUAGAGCACUGUUUCGGCAAGGGGGUCAUCCCGACUUACCAACCCGAUGCAAACUGCGAAUACCGGAGAAUGUUAUCACGGGAGACACACGGCGGGUGCUAACGUCCGUCGUGAAGAGGGAAACAACCCAGACCGCCAGCUAAGGUCCCAAAGUCAUGGUUAAGUGGGAAACGAUGUGGGAAGGCCCAGACAGCCAGGAUGUUGGCUUAGAAGCAGCCAUCAUUUAAAGAAAGCGUAAUAGCUCACUGGUCGAGUCGGCCUGCGCGGAAGAUGUAACGGGGCUAAACCAUGCACCGAAGCUGCGGCAGCGACGCUUAUGCGUUGUUGGGUAGGGGAGCGUUCUGUAAGCCUGCGAAGGUGUACUGUGAGGCAUGCUGGAGGUAUCAGAAGUGCGAAUGCUGACAUAAGUAACGAUAAAGCGGGUGAAAAGCCCGCUCGCCGGAAGACCAAGGGUUCCUGUCCAACGUUAAUCGGGGCAGGGUGAGUCGACCCCUAAGGCGAGGCCGAAAGGCGUAGUCGAUGGGAAACAGGUUAAUAUUCCUGUACUUGGUGUUACUGCGAAGGGGGGACGGAGAAGGCUAUGUUGGCCGGGCGACGGUUGUCCCGGUUUAAGCGUGUAGGCUGGUUUUCCAGGCAAAUCCGGAAAAUCAAGGCUGAGGCGUGAUGACGAGGCACUACGGUGCUGAAGCAACAAAUGCCCUGCUUCCAGGAAAAGCCUCUAAGCAUCAGGUAACAUCAAAUCGUACCCCAAACCGACACAGGUGGUCAGGUAGAGAAUACCAAGGCGCUUGAGAGAACUCGGGUGAAGGAACUAGGCAAAAUGGUGCCGUAACUUCGGGAGAAGGCACGCUGAUAUGUAGGUGAAGUCCCUCGCGGAUGGAGCUGAAAUCAGUCGAAGAUACCAGCUGGCUGCAACUGUUUAUUAAAAACACAGCACUGUGCAAACACGAAAGUGGACGUAUACGGUGUGACGCCUGCCCGGUGCCGGAAGGUUAAUUGAUGGGGUUAGCGCAAGCGAAGCUCUUGAUCGAAGCCCCGGUAAACGGCGGCCGUAACUAUAACGGUCCUAAGGUAGCGAAAUUCCUUGUCGGGUAAGUUCCGACCUGCACGAAUGGCGUAAUGAUGGCCAGGCUGUCUCCACCCGAGACUCAGUGAAAUUGAACUCGCUGUGAAGAUGCAGUGUACCCGCGGCAAGACGGAAAGACCCCGUGAACCUUUACUAUAGCUUGACACUGAACAUUGAGCCUUGAUGUGUAGGAUAGGUGGGAGGCUUUGAAGUGUGGACGCCAGUCUGCAUGGAGCCGACCUUGAAAUACCACCCUUUAAUGUUUGAUGUUCUAACGUUGACCCGUAAUCCGGGUUGCGGACAGUGUCUGGUGGGUAGUUUGACUGGGGCGGUCUCCUCCUAAAGAGUAACGGAGGAGCACGAAGGUUGGCUAAUCCUGGUCGGACAUCAGGAGGUUAGUGCAAUGGCAUAAGCCAGCUUGACUGCGAGCGUGACGGCGCGAGCAGGUGCGAAAGCAGGUCAUAGUGAUCCGGUGGUUCUGAAUGGAAGGGCCAUCGCUCAACGGAUAAAAGGUACUCCGGGGAUAACAGGCUGAUACCGCCCAAGAGUUCAUAUCGACGGCGGUGUUUGGCACCUCGAUGUCGGCUCAUCACAUCCUGGGGCUGAAGUAGGUCCCAAGGGUAUGGCUGUUCGCCAUUUAAAGUGGUACGCGAGCUGGGUUUAGAACGUCGUGAGACAGUUCGGUCCCUAUCUGCCGUGGGCGCUGGAGAACUGAGGGGGGCUGCUCCUAGUACGAGAGGACCGGAGUGGACGCAUCACUGGUGUUCGGGUUGUCAUGCCAAUGGCACUGCCCGGUAGCUAAAUGCGGAAGAGAUAAGUGCUGAAAGCAUCUAAGCACGAAACUUGCCCCGAGAUGAGUUCUCCCUGACUCCUUGAGAGUCCUGAAGGAACGUUGAAGACGACGACGUUGAUAGGCCGGGUGUGUAAGCGCAGCGAUGCGUUGAGCUAACCGGUACUAAUGAACCGUGAGGCUUAACCUU